CUCUCUCUCUCUCUCUCCCUUAGAUGCAGCAACAGCCAUCGCCAUCUCCACCUCUACUAUACCUUUCUCAAUCGACCCUCUCUCUCUAUUUCCCCUUUUCCCUAUCUCAAUCGAUCAUCUCUCUUCGUUUCCCCUUUCUCAAUCCACUUCUACUCCUCUAGGGUUUCUCUCUCUCUCUCUCUCUCUCUCUCUCUCUCUCUCUUUCUUAGGGGUUUUUAAUCUCUAUCUCUCUUUUAACAUGUCUAAGGAUGAGAUAUGAGGAUCUCUGCAAUCCGAUGUAUGAUAUGGACAUCAAGGAAGCCUUAGCCACUUACAUCUCAAGCAUUCAAUGGAUCGCUCCAUAAAGCACGAAUAUCUCCCCGAAGAUCUACAGGUUGGUGGAUAGUAACAUUCUUACGCUGAUAUAAUUGAAUCUUGUUUGGCUUCCAUU